rnacentral:rRNA from 1 species
AACGCGAAGAACCUUACCCAGGCUUGACAUCCUUGGAAGCUCUACGAAAGUAGAGUGUGCUUUAUUGAACCAAGUGACAGGUGUUGCAUGGCCGUCGUCAGCUCGUGUCGUGAGAUGUUUGGUUAAGUCCAUCAACGAGCGCAACCCUUGUGAUUAGUUGAAUUUUUCUAAUCAGACUGCCCUGGCAACAGGGAGGAAGGAGGGGAUGAUGUCAGGUCAGUAUUACCCUUACGCCUGGGGCUACAAACACGCUACAAUGGCCGGUACAAAGGGCAGCCAAGUCGCGAGACGGAGCAAAUCCCAUCAAAGCCGGUCUCAGUUCGGAUAGCAGGCUGAAACUCGCCUGCUUGAAGUCGGAAUCGCUAGUAACGGUAGGUCAGCUAUACUACCGUGAAUACGUUCCCGGGUCUUGUACACACCG